rnacentral:rRNA from 1 species
GACGAACGCUGGCGGCGUGCUUAACACAUGCAAGUCGAACGGAAAGGCCCCUUUGGGGGUCCUCGAGUGGCGAACGGGUGAGUAACACGUGAGUAACCUGCCCUUGACUUCGGGAUAACUUCAGGAAACUGGGGCUAAUACCGGAUAGGAAUCCUUGCUGCAUGGUGGGGGUUGGAAAGCUUCGGGGGUUUUGGCUGGACUCGCGGCGUAUCAGCUGGUUGGUGGGGUAGUGGCUUACCAAGGCUUUGACGGGUAGCCGGCCUGAGAGGGCGACCGGCCACAUUGGGACUGAGAGACGGCCCAGACGCCUACGGGAGGCAGCAGUGGGGAAUAUUGCACAAUGGGCGGAAGCCGGAUGCAGAAACGCCGCGGGCGGGAUGACGGCCUUCGGGUUGUAAACCGCUUUCAGCAGGGGAGAAGCUUGUGGUGACGGUACCUGCAGAAGAAGCACCGGCUAACUACGUG